rnacentral:tRNA from 1 species
UGGGGUGUCGCCAAGUGGUAAGGCUGCGGACUUUGACUCCGCCACUCGUAGGUUCGAAUCCUGCCACCCCAG